AGCGAACGCUGGCGGCAGGCUUAACACAUGCAAGUCGAACGGGCGUAGCAAUACGUCAGUGGCAGACGGGUGAGUAACGCGUGGGAACGUACCUUUUGGUUCGGAACAACCCAGGGAAACUUGGGCUAAUACCGGAUAAGCCCUUACGGGGAAAGAUUUAUCGCCGAAAGAUCGGCCCGCGUCUGAUUAGCUAGUUGGUGAGGUAACGGCUCACCAAGGCGACGAUCAGUAGCUGGUCUGAGAGGAUGAUCAGCCACAUUGGGACUGAGACACGGCCCAAACUCCUACGGGAGGCAGCAGUGGGGAAUAUUGGACAAUGGGCGCAAGCCUGAUCCAGCCAUGCCGCGUGAGUGAUGAAGGCCCUAGGGUUGUAAAGCUCUUUUGUGCGGGAAGAUAAUGACGGUACCGCAAGAAUAAGCCCCGGCUAACUUCGUGCCAGCCGCCGCCGU
rnacentral:rRNA from 1 species